rnacentral:rRNA from 1 species
UACGUAGGGGGCAAGCGUUGUCCGGAUUUAUUGGGCGUAAAGAGCGUGUAGGCGGCUAGGUAGGUCCGUUGUGAAAACUCGAGGCUCAACCUCGAGACGUCGAUGGAAACCAUCUAGCUAGAGUCCGGAAGAGGAGAGUGGAAUUCCUGGUGUAGCGGUGAAAUGCGCAGAUAUCAGGAAGAACACCAGUGGUGAAGGCGGCUCACUGGCCCGAUACUGACGCUGAGGCACGAAAGCGUGGGGAGCAAACAGG